CUAAUAAUUAUGCACAGUAAUAGUCACCUGCACACACAGAUAUCCCCCUAACAUAGCUAAAACUAAAAACAAACUAAAAACUACUUCCAAAAAUAUUCAGCUUUGAUAUUAAUGAGUUUUUUGGGUUCAUUGAGAACAUGGUGGUUGUUCAAUAAUAAAAUUAAUCCUCAAAAAUACAACUUGCCUAAUAAUUCUGCACUCCCUGUAUUGAUUCUAAUAUCUGAUAUUUAUUGAUCUUUACUGCAUAGAGAUUGUC